rfam:Zea mays cultivar B73 chromosome 3, whole genome shotgun sequence.
GGAUUUGAAGCGGAGCUCCUCUCAUUCCAAUGAAGGGUCCUUCCGAAGGGUGGUUCCGCUGCUCGUUCAUGGUUCCCACUAUCCUAUCUCAUCCAUGUUUGCGUGUCUUCGAGAGGAAGCGGAAGAGAUUCCUGUGGUCGCCUUUUGAGAUAGGCUUGUGGUUUGCAUGACCGAGGAGCUGCACCGACCCCGUGCUGGCCGCUCUUUGGAUUGAAGGGAGCUCUGCAUCCUGAUCCA